CCUACGGGAGGCAGCAGUGAGGAAUAUUGGUCAAUGGGCGAGAGCCUGAACCAGCCAAGUCGCGUGAAGGAUGAAGGAUCUAUGGUUUGUAAACUUCUUUUAUAUGGGAAUAAAGUGCGGCACGUGUUCCUUUUUGUAUGUACCAUAUGAAUAAGCAUCGCCUCACUCCGUUCCAGCAGCAGCGGUAAUACGGAGGAUGCGAGCGUUAGCCGGAUUUAUUGGGUUUAAAGGGUGCGUAGGUGGUUAAUUAAGUCAGCGGUGAAAGUUUGUGGCUCAACCAUAAAAUUGCCGUUGAAUCUGGUUGACUUGAGGAUAUUUGAGGUAGGCGGAAUGCGUGGUGUAGCGGUGAAAUGCAUAGAUAUCACGCAGAAUUCCGAUUGCGAAGGCAGCAUACCGGCGCGCAACUGACGCUCAUGUACGAAAGCGUGGGUAUCGAACAGGAUUAGAUACCCUUGUAGUC
rnacentral:rRNA from 1 species